AAUAAAUCAAUCUUUCACUUUUUAUCUAUAAUAUUUAACUAUUCGUCUUAUUAGAAAAAAUUAUGAUUAAUAUUUUUAUUUUUAUUAGAUGAUAAAUCGUGAAUAAUACUUUACGUAUGACUAAUUUUUUUAAUUUCUUGAAAAUUUUUCAAAUAAGACGGAUGAUCAAACGCUGGAUACAACAACCAAAG
rnacentral:pre_miRNA from 1 species